AAGCUAAGAAAAUACAAAUCAUUAUUAAGGGUUUUCUUAACUAGGAGUCCGUUGCAGUCGGUUGUUGAAGAUGAUGAAGCAGGUUUCCAAAAGCAAAAAGAACGAAAACUUCUCCUUUUAUGGCAUCAAACCCAUAACUGUCUUGUUAAAAUAUUACGUUUUUUUUUUUUUUUUUUUUUAUAAAUGUCAGUUAAAGAGGAGGAUCCUGACAAUCAAAAAUAUAUUUAAAGACGCAUCCAUCGCCUAAACAUUCACAAGAUUCUCGGGUCAUACGGUGCACCUGAUCCUCUGAGCUGGAAGUCUGAAGUGAUGAUCACAAACAUGAUUGUGUUGCUGUGUUUGUCUGCGCUGUUUCCUGUGAUGAUGGGCACUGAUGUAAACCCUGAAUGUUUUCCUGCCACUGACUGCUCUGAUAUUGCUGUGAAUAACAGUGGCGUGUACACCAUCACACUUUCAAAA